GGAGAGAUGCGAGAGCGGUUGAAUCGGGCGGUCUCGAAAACCGUUGUGCCUUCGGGCACCGAGGGUUCGAAUCCCUCUCUCUCCG
rnacentral:tRNA from 1 species